GAUGAAGAACGCAUCGAAAUGCGAUAAGUAAUGUGAAUUGCAGAAUUCAGUGAAUCAUCGAAUCUUUGAACGCACAUUGCGCCCCUUGGUAUUCCGAGGGGCAUGCCUGUUCGAGCGUCAUUUCAACCCUCAAGCACAGCUUGGUCUUGGGCUUCGCCGCUAACCCGGCGGGUCUUAAAAUCAGUGGCGGUGCCGUCGGGCCCUGAGCGCAGUAAUCUCUCUCGCUAUAGGGUCCCGGCGGAUGCUGGCCAGUAACCCCCAAUUUUCUAUGGUUGACCUCGGAUCAGGUAGGGAUACCCGCUGAACUUAAGCAUAUCAAUAAGCGGAGGA
rnacentral:misc_RNA from 1 species